GACAGCCACAGAGGAGAGGAAAGUGGUGAGAAGAAGGAAGAGGAGCACAAGUGAGAGAGCCAGACUGUGCCGAAAGGAGCCAGGUCCAGCUGGAGCCAGGUGAAGGACGGAGGAACCAUCUGGCAGGCAGGGUGAUGCUGUUGUUCCUGCUCCACAGGACAUUGCUCGUUCCCUCUCCUAUUCAGCAGGCCCAUCGGAAUGAUUUGAGAUGAAGAGUGUACCAGCAUUCUGGACGACCAGCCCUCCUCAGCAAACUUCAGCCCCGUUUGGCUCUGCUUGGACCAAGUUAAAUGUUCGGGGGAUUUCCGCCUGGCUCGGUUCACAUGGUCGUGCAGAUCCAAGGCAGUGUCUCCUAAUGGGUGGAACAGAUGAAUCAGAGACCACAUGCAGGACAUGCCAAUCUGAAGCUGGCACAGCUGUGUUCUGAUCUUCAGUCCCUAAUUUAUCCAAGGGCUGGGAGCCCUUCUUGCCUCAACAAAUUUCGCUGCCUCUGUAUUGAACCCUCUGGCUUGGACCCCAUUAGUCUGGCCUGAUCACUGACAGCAGCUGCUGAUCCCAGAGCUUCUGUGGCAGCAGGAUCCCUAGGGUGGACUUACCUUUGGGGACAACUUUCAGUCCAUGCCUGUCUAGCUCAGAGAAUGACAGCAGCAAGUUGGUAUCACCGGGAUAUCAGUCGUGUUGUGGCUGAGGAUUUGUUGGCCAAAGCUGGGAAGGAUGGGUGCUUCCUGGUGCGAGACAGCGAGUCCGUGUCUGGGGCGUACGCCCUUUGCCUGCUGUUCCAGAGACACGUGCACACCUAUAGGAUCCUGCCCGAUGAGGAGGGGCUGCUAUCCGUGCAGACCAUCCAGGGCAUCCAGGCCAAAUGCUUCCGCACCCUGACUGAUCUAAUAGGGGCCUACCAACAACCCAACAAUGGCCUGGUGAUCCCACUGCUCUACCCUGUGAACAGAGCAAGAGAGCCAGUGGAGGAGGACUCUGAUGGUGAAGAUGGCAGAGCCAGCCACCCUCCAAGCCUGGUGCCUCACAGUGGGAUCAUCGCGGGCAGCACCAGUGGGUGGGUUACUGCUCAGCCAAACAAGGCCCAGAUAUCUCAGCAGCUGCAGCUCAGGCUGCAGGAGCAGGUUCACAGCAGCCCGGCCAGCGAUUUCAUGGGAUUCAUGGCCGAGUACCUCAGUCACCACUUACAGCUUGACCUGGAGGCCUUGAGGAAUGGGAACCUGCAGCUGAGACACCUGAGCACAGCCUUAGUGACCGCCUGCCGUGGGCUGCACAGUGAGAUUGACUUCACGCUGGCUGGUUUAGAGACUCUGGCCAAAGUGUUUGACCCUCCGGCUUCCCCUCGGAGCCCCGUAAGAGAGCAGGGUCUCCUGGCCGGCGAUCCAGACCUUGAAUUGCUCCUCAGCAAGAUCGCCACUGUCAACCACCUGCUCUCCUCUCUAGAGAAAAAGGUGCUGAAGACACUGCAGGAGACAGUGAUCAAGCACAAACUGGCUCUUCCCAAUGUGGCUGUGGUGCACCCACCUACUGCCAAGCCUAUGGCUGUGCAGAGCUUUGAGGUGAAAGUGGGCAAAACACAGAGGGCUUCCCUGACAGUGGACGUGGAGUCUGGGACAAUGGCCAUCACAAAGAGGGGCUGCAGCUCUCCAGAGGAGAUCAUCUCUCAGGACAAAAUCUUGCAGCUGAUUAAAUACCAGAGCAUGCAGAGCAAAGUGAGGCUGGUGUAUGACAGAGAUCAACACAGAAGCCUGACCAGGGACUUCAUCUUCCAGAACGCACGGAAGCGAGAGGCCUUUUGUCAACUGCUGCAGCUCAUGAAGAUCCAGCAUUCCAACCUGGAUGAGCCAGACCUCAUUUCUGUGUACGUUGGGACAUGGAACAUGGGCAGCGCUCCACCUCCCAGGUCCAUGGCUUCAUGGCUGACAUCGAGGGGAUUGGGACAGACUCAGGAUGAGACCACAGCCGGCAUCCCACAUGACAUCUAUGUUAUUGGCACCCAGGAGAACUCGCUGGGGGACCGCGAAUGGGUGGAGUUCCUGCGAGCCUCUCUGAAGACCUUGAUGUCCAUAGAUUUCCGAGUGGUUGCCUUACAGUGCCUCUGGAGCAUCAAGAUUGUGGUGCUGGUAAAACCAGAGCACGAACGCCGGAUCAGUCAUGUGAACACGUCAAGUGUGAAAACAGGAAUUGCAAACACACUAGGUAACAAAGGGGCUGUGGGCGUCUCCUUCCUUUUCAACGGGACGUCGUUUGGGUUUGUGAACUGCCACCUGGCCUCGGGGAGCGAGAAGACACACAGGCGGAACCAGAACUACAGUGACAUUCUGCGCUCUCUGGUCCUGGGUGACAAGAGACUCAGCAGCUUCGACCUCACCCUGCGCUUCACCCACCUCUUCUGGUUUGGAGACCUCAAUUACCGCCUUGAUAUGGAGGUCCAGGACAUCUUAGCUCAUGUGAACAAAAAGGAGUUUGAGGCCCUGCUGGCCGUGGACCAGCUCACCCUGGAGCGUGAGAAGAACAAGGUGUUCCUGCGAUUUAGUGAGGGAGACAUCUCCUUCCCUCCCACGUACCGAUACGAACGGGGCUCCCGGGACAGCUAUGUCUGGCAGAAGUUCAAAACCACAGGGGUGAGAAUCAACGUUCCCUCGUGGUGCGAUCGCAUCCUGUGGAAGUCACACCCUGAGACUCACAUGCUCUGUAACUCAUAUGGCUGCACUGAUGACAUUGUGACCAGUGACCACUCGCCUGUCUUUGCCACAUUUGAGGUGGGAGUGACGUCUCAGUUCGUGCCUAGGAAGGCUCCUGGCUCCAGCCCCGAGUCCCUGGCCUGCAUCGAGUGGGACAGCAUCGAGGUGAUUGUGAAAACAGCCAGCCGCAGCAAGUGCUACAUUGAGUUCCACUCCUACUGCCUGGAAGAGUCUCAGCGGAGUGGGGAGAACAGCUCCCAAAGCAGCGACAUCCCGGGCUUCCUCAAACUCAGCUGGUCAGCUAAACAGCUGCCAGUGCUGAGCCCCAUCCUGUCGGACCUGGAGUACCUGCUGGACCAGCACCUGCUCCUCAGCAUCAAGGGCAUGGACAGUUGCGAGUCAUAUGGUGAGUGCUGCAUUGCCAUGAGAUCUAUGAUUGGCAGCCUGGCCCAGCAGUUUGAGACUUUCCUCUUCCACCGGGGUGAAGAAACAGGCUCCAUGCGUGGCUGGAUGAAGGUCCGAGUCCCCAAGGACAGGCGGAGCACACGCGAGAGGCUCUACGAGUGGAUCAGCUUUGAGACAGACGAGACGGAGUCCGACUUCCCGACCCUCUCCAAGCCAGCUCUGCGUGCCAUCAGGAGCCGGCCCCUCAGCCUCCCGGAGGCAGCCGGCAGUUACACCAAUCCAGCCUAUUUCAUAUUUGAGGGGGUCCCCAACACCUGGGUGCAGUGUCCCAGCCUGUCUGAGCCUCCUUACAGUCAGGCCAGUGACAGGCAGGCUGACUGUAGGUACCUGGACCAUUCUCCAUGCCACAGGCUCCAGAGCCUGACAGGAGCACAAGCCUGCUCCUCCUCCAAGGAACAGCUACGGAGAAGCCCCCACUACUCUGUGCCCGAGAUCAUCUCCUGUGGGCACCAGCUCAGCCCCUCCCAGAUUGGGAGGCACAAGAGGCCCAAGUCAGCCAUUCUGACGAGACACCCGCAGACGUCGGGUGACUGUUCCCUCACAGCCCUGCACAUGGCCUGGUGCCUCAGUGACGUGGACACAGAGUCCCACAAGAGAGGAAGCUGCCUGGACCCCAGCCAGCCAGAGGGCCGGAAGAACCUGCUCCGCCACACCCGCAGCGCCCUGGAGCCACCACCGCAGAGCUGCUGGGAGGGGGCAGGGUCCCAGCGGGACACUCGCCGACUCAACCGUGCUAGAGAGAAAUAUCACUGACCAGGACCUGCUGGACACUGGCGUGCUGAACACCACUCAUCGGAAGCUCUUCCAAGCCAAGCUCCAUGAGAGCAGCCCCAGGAGCCUGCAGCAGGGACCCAGUCUGAAAUCAAACCUAUAGUGAAUCUGGCAUCCAGACUCCUCCGUGCCCUUCUAAUCUCCUCUGGGCAGCUGCCUGGUGCAGGGGGUGGAGAGCUGCUGAAGGUGUUCUGUCCCUGGGACAGGGCCAAGAUCCAGUGUCACUGGGCUAAGCCUCUGGAUUGGAAAUAUCCCCCUUGCUGCCUUCCUUUGCAACCUUCACUGUCACUCUGAUAUCAUCGUGCAUAAUCUCCCCUGGCGGUGGCUGCAGACAUGCCCUGUGCAUCUGGCUGAGGCUUUGCCAAAGGCCUGGACCCAAAAGGACGUUUAGCCUUGUGGUGAAACUUGCCACAACCCCAAACUGUCUAGCCGGGUUCCAUGGAGAGGUGACUGGGAAUUCAGGGGAGCCAGAAUGUAGCAGGGGAGCCCCAGCAGCUACUGCGACUCCAGCACUAACUUUUCUUCCUUCUCUGUUUGAGCCUAGGGUGACCAGAUGUCCCGAUUUUAUAGGGACAGUCCUGAUAUUUGGGUCUUUUCCUCAUAUAGGCUCCUAUUACCAUCCCGAUUUUUCACAUUUGCUGUCUGGUCACCCUAUUUGAGCCACAGAUAGGGCCUGGCUUCUCCUCUGGUGGGCAUGGAUCCUAAUGCUGAGCCCUGUUCCACUUGUAUAGAGGCAUGAUACACUCUGAGCCAGGGGAGGUGGGAGCAACAGUCCAUGUGGCCACAUCGCACUGGAGCUGAGACUUUUCUUGUUGAGUCUGAUACAGCUGAUGUAGGUAGUGACUCUACAACCUGGGCUAGCUGGGCACCUCUCCCAGUCUCUGCCCACACAGGUGCUGGAGCACCAGAUGUGCGUUGUAGCUUGGUCACAAGGGCUUGAUUUCUCUAGGCUCUGAAAUGAACUUUGAAACAUCACAUGGAGGACAGAGCCCCAGCACUGCAGCAUCAUGGGGCCUCCAAGUGCAUCAUAGGGGAGAACACUCUAGUCUAAUGCACUUAUUAUGUAUGGGCAACAGCUUCUUCCAGCCACCCUGGAGGGCAGAGACCUGGUCCCUCUGUGGGAGAACAAAGCUGCUUGCUCGGCCCCUUAUAUGGCAGGCCCUCCCUCUCCUUCGCACGAUGCUCAGAGAGCAAGCCUGAAACUCUGCAAGUGCCCAGGGAAAGCAAGAGCUGUACGGUGACCGGGAGAAACGGCAGCACCGGCUGACCAGGGAUGGGAUCAAGCUGGAGCCCAGCCCACACAGGGACACACAUCACCUGAGGAACUGACUCUGAAACCAAAGA